rnacentral:rRNA from 1 species
UACGAAGGGGGCUAGCGUUGCUCGGAAUCACUGGGCGUAAAGCGCACGUAGGCGGACUCUUAAGUCGGUGGUGAAAUCCUGGAGCUCAACUCCAGAACUGCCUUCGAUACUGGGAGUCUUGAGUCCGGGAGAGGUGAGUGGAACUCCUGGUGUAGCGGUGAAAUGCGCAGAUAUCAGGAGGAACACCAAUGGCGAAGGCAGCUCGCUGGGACGUGACUGACGCUGAGACGCGAAAGCGUGGGGAGCAAACAGG